rnacentral:rRNA from 1 species
GACGAACGCUGGCGGCGUGCUUAACACAUGCAAGUCGAACGGAAAGGCCCUGCUUUUGUGGGGUGCUCGAGUGGCGAACGGGUGAGUAACACGUGAGUAACCUGCCCUUGACUUUGGGAUAACUUCAGGAAACUGGGGCUAAUACCGGAUAGGAGCUCCUGCUGCAUGGUGGGGGUUGGAAAGUUUCGGCGGUUGGGGAUGGACUCGCGGCUUAUCAGCUUGUUGGUGGGGUAGUGGCUUACCAAGGCUUUGACGGGUAGCCGGCCUGAGAGGGUGACCGGCCACAUUGGGACUGAGAUACGGCCCAGACUCCUACGGGAGGCAGCAGUGGGGAAUAUUGCACAAUGGGCGGAAGCCUGAUGCAGCAACGCCGCGUGCGGGAUGACGGCCUUCGGGUUGUAAACCGCUUUCGCCUGUGACGAAACGUGAGUGACGGUAAUGGGUAAAGAGGCACCGGCUAACUACGUG